rnacentral:rRNA from 1 species
GUUGAGCGGAGAUAUAUGGAGCUUGCUUUAUAUAACUUAGCAGCGAACGGGUGAGUAACACGUAGAUAAUCUAUCCUAUACUGGGGGAUAGCCCGAUGAAAGUUGGAUUAAUACCGCAUAUAGCUAUAUAGUUGCAUGAUUAUGUAGUGAAAGAUUUAUUGGUAUAGGAGGAGUCUGCGGCACAUUAGCUAGUAGGUGAGGUAAAGGCUUACCUAGGCGACGAUGUGUAGCCGGUCUGAGAGGAUGAACGGCCACAAUGGAACUGAGACACGGUCCAUACUCCUACGGGAGGCAGCAGUGGGGAAUAUUGCACAAUGGGGGAAACCCUGAUGCAGCAACGCCGCGUGAGUGAAGAAGGUUUUCGGAUUGUAAAGCUCUGUUAGCAGGGAAGAGGAAGGACGGUACCUGCAGAGGAAGCCACGGCUAACUACGUGCCAGCAGCCGCGGUAAUACGUAGGUGGCAAGCGUUGUUCGGAAUAACUGGGCGUAAAGGAUGCGUAGGCGGUUAAACAAGUUAUAUGUUAAAUAUAUAGGCUUAACCUGUAGAAAGCAUAUAAAACUGUUUAACUAGAGUGCAGGAGAGGUAAGUGGAAUUCCUAGUGUAGCGGUGAAAUGCGUAGAGAUUAGGAAGAACACCAGUGGCGAAGGCGACUUACUGGACUGUAACUGACGCUGAGGCAUGAGAGCAUGGGGAGCAAACAGGAUUAGAUACCCUGGUAGUCCAUGCUGUAAACGAUGGGUACUAGGUGUGGGUUGUGAAUAACAAUUCGUGCCGUCGCAAACGCAAUAAGUACCCCGCCUG